AUUGAACGCUGGCGGCAGGCCUAACACAUGCAAGUCGAGCGGAUGAAGAGAGCUUGCUCUCUGAUUUAGCGGCGGACGGGUGAGUAAUGCCUAGGAAUCUGCCUGGUAGUGGGGGAUAACGUCCGGAAACGGGCGCUAAUACCGCAUACGUCCUACGGGAGAAAGCAGGGGACCUUCGGGCCUUGCGCUAUCAGAUGAGCCUAGGUCGGGUUAGCUAGGUGGUGAGGUAAUGGAUCACCAAGGCUACGAUCCGUAACUGGUCUGAGAGGAUGAUCAGUAACACUGGAACUGAAACACGAGCCAGACUCCUACGGGAGGCAGCAGUGGGGAAUAUUGGACAAUGGGCGAAAGCCUGAUCCAGCCAUGCCGCGUGUGUGAAGAAGGUCUUCGGAUUGUAAAGCACUUUAAGUUGGGAGAAAGGGCAGUAAGUUAAUACCUUGCUGUUUUGACGUUACCGACAGAAUAAGCACCGGCUAACUUCGUGCCAGCAGCCGCCGUAACAC
rnacentral:rRNA from 1 species